rnacentral:lncRNA from 1 species
AUCGCGAACAAAGCAUUUCACAUCGAAAAAGGAUAUGAGACGACAACUCAUUAUCUUCCUUCCACACCGUACACUAACUCGCGAAAACGCAAAUUGAUUAUCCUUUCAUAAAAAAAGCCGCAAAGCGGCAGGGAUUCAAAUCCACAAACGGCCAGUCCCGAAACAUGAAAUAAGGCCAUAUAAGGCCUAAACAGAAACACAAAAAAAAAAAAAAAUCUCUCGCAAGAGAUCAUAACCACUACUAUCAUCUGUAACAUAUGCCCCCUC